AAAUUCUCAACAGUGGAUGUCUUGGUUCCCAUAACGAUGAAGAACGCAGCGAAGUGCGAUAAGCAGUGCGAAUUGCAGAACCGUGAGUCAUCAGAUUUUUGAACGCAACUGGCGCCGUGCGGGCUUGCUCGCCGGCACGCCUGGUCCAGUG
rnacentral:rRNA from 1 species